GAAAACAUAGGAUUUUAUUGACCUCUCCGAAGUAUAUGUCGGCUAACACCCAUCGAAAGUAGAAAAAAUCCCGUAAUUCCUGUUGUCUUCCCCGUUUCACUUGAAAAAUGGCUCCCCCAACCCCGUCAAAGUAACCUGAUCCAUUUAAUAAGCUAUUGGAGAACCGCCCGAGAAGUUUCACCCAAAAUAUUUUUGAAACCCGCACCAACC
rnacentral:lncRNA from 1 species